AUCAUACUCCCUCCGUCUGGAAAUACUUGUCGGGGAAAUAGAUCUGGAUGUAUUUUAGUUCUAGAUAUAUUUAAUUUUAUCUAUUUGUGCGACAAGUAUUUUUGGACGGUGGGAGUAAAUA
rfam:Triticum urartu cultivar G1812 contig365199, whole genome shotgun sequence.